AACACUAUGCCUCCCUGCCCUGUUCCCCUCAUGUUCAAGGUAUGGUCCUGAACACUAUGCCUCCCCGUUCCCUUCAUGUUUAAGGUAUGGCCCUGAACACUAUGCUUCCCUCAUGUUCAAGGUAUGGCCCUGAACACUAUGCCUCCCUGUUACCCUCAUGUUCAAGGUAUGGCUCUGAACACUAUGCCUCCCUGUUCUCCUCAUCUUUAAGGUAUGACCCUGAACGCUAUGCCUCCCUGUUCCCUUCAUGUUUAAGGUAUGGCCAUGAACACUACGCCUCCCUCAUGUUUAAGGUAUGGCCCUAAACACUAUGCCUCCCUGUUCUCCUCAUCUUUAAGUUUAAUUUUGACCACUGAAUGGAAACAUGUUUAUCCUGCCACUGGGUAUAUCUCUGAAGACAAAAUAUCUUCCUGGAACUCCGAACACGACAGCGUAGAGCUCUGGACACCUCGGGUCGCUGCAGUAGUACUCCCAGUGCAGUCGAAGCUCUUGCCCCAGGACAGCAUAUAAAUGGUUUGGUGGAGUUUUGGUGUAGUAGAAUGUACACUCUGUAGAUAUUUUAAAUCAGUUGGUGGUUUAAGUGAUGGCGAACAAUCUAAGCACACCAUUUUAUUAUUUUCAUCUUUUAUAAAACAUAAUUAUUGGCUAGGCUACUGUUAAGAUUACUAAUCAAUACUCAUGUUAAAAUAAAAACAUCGAUA